AUUGAACGCUGGCGGCAGGCUUAACACAUGCAAGUCGAGCGGGGGAAGGUAGCUUGCUACCGGACCUAGCGGCGGACGGGUGAGUAAUGCUUAGGAAUCUGCCUAUUAGUGGGGACAACAUCUCGAAAGGGAUGCUAAUACCGCAUACGUCCUACGGGAGAAAGCAGGGGAUCUUCGGACCUUGCGCUAAUAGAUGAGCCUAAGUCGGAUUAGCUAGUUGGUGGGUUAAAGGCCUACCAAGGCGACGAUCUGUAGCGGGUCUGAGAGGAUGAUCCGCCACACUGGGACUGAGAAACGGCCCAGACUCCUACGGGAGGCAGCAGUGGGGAAUAUUGGACAAUGGGGGGAACCCUGAUCCAGCCAUGCCGCGUGUGUGAAGAAGGCCUUAUGGCUGUAAAGCACUUUAAGCGAGGAGGAGGCUACUCUAGUUAAUACCUAGGGAUAGUGGACGUUACACGCAGAAUAAGCACCGGCUAACUCUGUGCCAGCCGCCGCCGUAA
rnacentral:rRNA from 1 species